UACAGAGGUCUCGAGCGUUAGGCGGAAUCACUGGGCUUAAAGCGUGUGUAGGCGGAUCGUUAGGUACCUUGUGAAAUCCCAUGGCUCAACCAUGGAACUGCUUGGUAUACUGGCGAUCUUGUGCAACCUAGGGGCGAGCGGAACAGAUGGUGGAGCGGUGAAAUGCGUAGAUAUCAUCUGGAACGCCAAUGGUGAAAACAGCUCGCUGGGGGUUUGCAGACGCUGAGACACGAAAGCCAGGGGAGCGAACAGG
rnacentral:rRNA from 1 species